rnacentral:rRNA from 1 species
AACGCGAAGAACCUUACCAAGGCUUGACAUGCAGGGAAAAGCCGUAGAGACACGGUGUCCGUAAGGGUCCUGCACAGGUGGUGCAUGGCUGUCGUCAGCUCGUGUCGUGAGAUGUUGGGUUAAGUCCCGCAACGAGCGCAACCCUCGUCCUCUGUUGCUAACAGGUUAGGCUGAGCACUCUGAGGAAACUGCCGGUGAUAAGCCGGAGGAAGGUGGGGAUGACGUCAAGUCCUCAUGGCCCUUACAUCCUGGGCUACACACGUGUUACAAUGGCGGUGACAAUGGGUCGCGAUCGCGCAAGCGCUAGCUAAUCCCAAAAAGCCGCCUCAGUUCGGAUUGCACUCUGCAACUCGAGUGCAUGAAGCUGGAAUCGCUAGUAAUCGUGGAUCAGCACGCCACGGUGAAUACGUUCCCGGGCCUUGUACACACCGAGUAUA